GAAAUGCGAUACGUAAUGCGAAUUGCAGAACUCAGUGAAUCAUCAAAUCUUUGAACGCAAAUGGCGCUUUCGGGAUAGGCCUGAAAGCACGCCUCUUUGAGUAUCGAUUCCACACCAACAAGUCACCAUGCUUGUUUGAAUCUGAGUAUUUCACAGAUGCCGAGUCUGUGUUACUUGAAGUGGAAAUUGGGUCUUUUAAUGAUCGCAAAGGAUUUUCGUUGAAAUGAAAAGCCAGUUGCGUGACGUGGGUAACUCGUUUUUGUCUCCUUUACGGCGACAAAAUCUAUCCAAUACGUGACGCAGCGUUCAAAAGCUUGCUUUCAAUGAGUCGACUUUGGUCGCAUCUUUCGUGAAUCCAAAACCCGAACAAAACAACAAUCUUUAAGAAUUAGAUCUCAAA
rnacentral:misc_RNA from 1 species